UACGAAGGGUGCAAGCGUUACUCGGAAUUACUGGGCGUAAAGCGUGCGUAGGUGGUGAGUUAAGCCUGUCGUGAAAGCCCCGGGCUCAACCUGGGAAUGGCGAUGGAUACUGGCUCGCUAGAGUGCGGUAGAGGAGAGUGGAAUUCCCGGUGUAGCAGUGAAAUGCGUAGAGAUCGGGAGGAACAUCAGUUGCGAAGGCGGCUCUCUGGACCAGCACUGACACUGAGGCACGAAAGCGUGGGGAGCAAACAGG
rnacentral:rRNA from 1 species